CCGGUGAACGGCGGCCGUAACUAUAACGGUCCUAAGGUAGCGAAGUCCCUUGUCGGGUAAGUUCCGACCCGCACGAAUGGCGUAACGACUUGAACACUGUCUCAACGAUGGACUCGGUGAAAUUGCAGGACCCGUAAAGAUGCGGGUUACGCGCAGCAGGACAAAAAGACCCCGUGGAGCUUUACUGUAGCUUGGCAUUGGUUCGAGUUUUAAUUUGUGUAGGAUAGGCGGGAGACUAUGAGUUAGAUGCGUCAGCAUCUAAGGAGUCGCCCUUGAAAUACCGCCCUGAUUACAAUUUGAUUCUAACUUUCUUAGGACAGUGUCUGGUAGGCAGUUUGACUGGGGCGGUCGCCUCCCAAAGAGUAACGGAGGCGCACAAAGGUCACCUCAGGCUGGAUGGAAAUCAGCUUUAGAGUGUAUUAGCAUAAGGUGGCUUGACUGCGAGACCAACAAGUCGAGCAGGGACGAAAGUCGGUUAAAGUGAUCCCACGGUACCGCAUGGAAGGGCCGUGGCUUAACGGAUAAAAGCUACCCCGGGGAUAACAGGCUUAUCUCGCCCAAGAGUCCGUAUCGACGGCGAGGUUUGGCACCUCGAUGUCGGCUCGUCGCAUCCUGGGGCUGAAGAAGGUCCCAAGGGUCGGGCUGUCCGCCCGUUAAAGCGGCACGCGAGCUGGGUUCAGAGCGUCGUGAGACAGCUCGGUCUCUAUCCGCUGUGCGCGUAGGAUAUUUGAGGGGAUCUGUUCUUAGUACGAGAGGACCGGAAUGGACGAACCAAUGGUGUGCCGGUUGUGACGCCAGUUGCAUUGCCGGGUAGCUAUGUUCGGAAAGGAUAAAAGCUGAAAGCAUCUAAGCAUGAAGCCUACCCCAAGAUACGAUAUCCCAUCUUUUUAUAAGAAUAAGACCUCCGGUAGACUACCGGUUAGAUAGGCCACGUGUGUAAGAGUAGUAAUAUUUUGAGCUAAGUGGUACUAAUAGGUCGAAGGCUUGACUCAC
rnacentral:rRNA from 1 species